rnacentral:rRNA from 1 species
UGGGUCAGCGACUUAUAUUCUGUAGCAAGGUUAACCGAAUAGGGGAGCCGAAGGGAAACCGAGUCUUAACUGGGCGUUAAGUUGCAGGGUAUAGACCCGAAACCCGGUGAUCUAGCCAUGGGCAGGUUGAAGGUUGGGUAACACUAACUGGAGGACCGAACCGACUAAUGUUGAAAAAUUAGCGGAUGACUUGUGGCUGGGGGUGAAAGGCCAAUCAAACCGGGAGAUAGCUGGUUCUCCCCGAAAGCUAUUUAGGUAGCGCCUCGUGAAUUCAUCUCCGGGGGUAGAGCACUGUUUCGGCAAGGGGGUCAUCCCGACUUACCAACCCGAUGCAAACUGCGAAUACCGGAGAAUGUUAUCACGGGAGACACACGGCGGGUGCUAACGUCCGUCGUGAAGAGGGAAACAACCCAGACCGCCAGCUAAGGUCCCAAAGUCAUGGUUAAGUGGGAAACGAUGUGGGAAGGCCCAGACAGCCAGGAUGUUGGCUUAGAAGCAGCCAUCAUUUAAAGAAAGCGUAAUAGCUCACUGGUCGAGUCGGCCUGCGCGGAAGAUGUAACGGGGCUAAACCAUGCACCGAAGCUGCGGCAGCGACACUGUGUGUUGUUGGGUAGGGGAGCGUUCUGUAAGCCUGUGAAGGUGUGCUGUGAGGCAUGCUGGAGGUAUCAGAAGUGCGAAUGCUGACAUAAGUAACGAUAAAGCGGGUGAAAAGCCCGCUCGCCGGAAGACCAAGGGUUCCUGUCCAACGUUAAUCGGGGCAGGGUGAGUCGACCCCUAAGGCGAGGCCGAAAGGCGUAGUCGAUGGGAAACAGGUUAAUAUUCCUGUACUUGGUGUUACUGCGAAGGGGGGACGGAGAAGGCUAUGUUGGCCGGGCGACGGUUGUCCCGGUUUAAGCGUGUAGGCUGGUUUUCCAGGCAAAUCCGGAAAAUCAAGGCUGAGGCGUGAUGACGAGGCACUACGGUGCUGAAGCAACAAAUGCCCUGCUUCCAGGAAAAGCCUCUAAGCAUCAGGUAACAUCAAAUCGUACCCCAAACCGACACAGGUGGUCAGGUAGAGAAUACCAAGGCGCUUGAGAGAACUCGGGUGAAGGAACUAGGCAAAAUGGUGCCGUAACUUCGGGAGAAGGCACGCUGAUAUGUAGGUGAAGUCCCUCGCGGAUGGAGCUGAAAUCAGUCGAAGAUACCAGCUGGCUGCAACUGUUUAUUAAAAACACAGCACUGUGCAAACACGAAAGUGGACGUAUACGGUGUGACGCCUGCCCGGUGCCGGAAGGUUAAUUGAUGGGGUCAGCGCAAGCGAAGCUCUUGAUCGAAGCCCCGGUAAACGGCGGCCGUAACUAUAACGGUCCUAAGGUAGCGAAAUUCCUUGUCGGGUAAGUUCCGACCUGCACGAAUGGCGUAAUGAUGGCCAGGCUGUCUCCACCCGAGACUCAGUGAAAUUGAACUCGCUGUGAAGAUGCAGUGUACCCGCGGCAAGACGGAAAGACCCCGUGAACCUUUACUAUAGCUUGACACUGAACAUUGAGCCUUGAUGUGUAGGAUAGGUGGGAGGCUUUGAAGUGUGGACGCCAGUCUGCAUGGAGCCGACCUUGAAAUACCACCCUUUAAUGUUUGAUGUUCUAACGUGGACCCGUGAUCCGGGUUGCGGACAGUGUCUGGUGGGUAGUUUGACUGGGGCGGUCUCCUCCUAAAGAGUAACGGAGGAGCACGAAGGUUGGCUAAUCCUGGUCGGACAUCAGGAGGUUAGUGCAAUGGCAUAAGCCAGCUUGACUGCGAGCGUGACGGCGCGAGCAGGUGCGAAAGCAGGUCAUAGUGAUCCGGUGGUUCUGAAUGGAAGGGCCAUCGCUCAACGGAUAAAAGGUACUCCGGGGAUAACAGGCUGAUACCGCCCAAGAGUUCAUAUCGACGGCGGUGUUUGGCACCUCGAUGUCGGCUCAUCACAUCCUGGGGCUGAAGUAGGUCCCAAGGGUAUGGCUGUUCGCCAUUUAAAGUGGUACGCGAGCUGGGUUUAGAACGUCGUGAGACAGUUCGGUCCCUAUCUGCCGUGGGCGCUGGAGAACUGAGGGGGGCUGCUCCUAGUACGAGAGGACCGGAGUGGACGCAUCACUGGUGUUCGGGUUGUCAUGCCAAUGGCACUGCCCGGUAGCUAAAUGCGGAAGAGAUAAGUGCUGAAAGCAUCUAAGCACGAAACUUGCCCCGAGAUGAGUUCUCCCUGACCCUUUAAGGGUCCUGAAGGAACGUUGAAGACGACGACGUUGAUAGGCCGGGUGUGUAAGCGCAGCGAUGCGUUGAGCUAACCGGUACUAAUGAACCGUGAGGCUUAACCU